GAGAGAGAGAGAGAGAGAGACCUAACAAAAAAGGACAAGCCUAAAGCAAGCUUGCGAUUCAAAAAAUCAAUCACCAUAAAUGAAGUGCUUGACUUAAAAAAUUUAAGACCUGCACUUCCAAUUACGAACAUGGAUUAAAUAAAAACCACAUACAAUAAUAUAGAACCAUCAUCAAGGUCUUGGAAUACGCUUAUCCAUAUUGGACAACAUAUGUCAAGUCAGCAAGCAUACUUCAUUGUUAAAAUUCAAGGAGCAAAAUUCCAUAAUUUACACUGAACCCCUUAUUAAAGCGAUUAUCUUCUUAAAAGAGCGAAAGUGGAAAUGAACAGUUCAGUGAAAAUAAGUAUAAACAAGAUGAAAAAGAGCAAUCCCAUGCGUUGAAAUUUCAUCAAUAGGUUGGCAGGAAAAUGAGAGGCAUUGUUGAAUAUGGCAGUGCUUUGUUUCUGACAGCACAGUUUUUAUAUUUGCUUCAAUAGUUAGCAUUUCAGAAGGAAGGUCACUCUUCGUAUAAGGGUGGAAGAGUUAAACAGAGGCCUAUCACUUCACAGACUAAGAGAACUUUACCCUUGAGUUAUAGUUUAUCCAAUGAAGCAAUAACUGCCAAAAAUUCUAGCUACUUUUCCUACAAAGAAGUGAACAGGGCAAGAUGUGGGGACACAGGCACCAAGGAAUUUCUGGUAAUAAAGUUUGCUCUCAAUCAAUACAUGAUUUCCAGGUCAAUUGGUAUGGAUUAUAGACAAGGUUUAACAAUGCUAGUCAUUAGAAAUCAAACUAAGUGUCAUUAGAAAUCAAACUAAUUGAAGCAGGAAGCAAGAAAAUGAUAAUGAUGCAUGGGCAGCAAAAUCCUGACUUCCCUGUUAUCAUUGCAAUAUUGUCCAUCAUAUAGUUUAAUAUUCAUCAUCUUAUCUUCUGAGCCUUAAUAUAAAGAUAAUAUUCAUCAUCUUGUCUUUUGAGCCUUAAUAAUAGCCUUCAUCUUCAUUCAGACACAUAAAGAUUAAAUAUCUUCCGCUAUAUAGAACUUUCUUUUUGUUUUGAUAUUUUUUAAAAGCCCCACCUAGUUUGGGAUUAAAGCUUAGUUAUUGU
rnacentral:misc_RNA from 1 species